rnacentral:tRNA from 1 species
GCUCUUGUGGUGUAGUCCGGCCAAGCAUCAGGCCCUCUCGCGGCCUGGACCCGGGUUCGAAUCCCGGCGAGAGCA